AAUUCCAUUACUUGUAUAAACAAUCGUUGGGUUUUAUUCUGGCUCCGAGUGAACGCUGGUAACAUAUUUUAACACAUGCAAAUCGAACGAAAAGUAAAUUUACUUUAAGUGGUGACCUGGUGAGUAGUAUAGGAGAAUUGAAGUGUGGGUUAGGCUAAAUUCCUAAAAUUAUUAAAAAUAAAAGAUUUAUAUCGCCUACAAUAGAGCUUCUAAAGGAUUAGGUAGUUGUUGUAGUAAUUAUUCAACAAGCCGACGAUGCUUAGCUGGUUUGAGAGAAUGAUCAGCCACAUUGGGACUGAAAACGGCCCAAGUCUUCUAAAAGGGCAGCAGUGGAGAAUAUUUGACAAUGGGCGAAAGCUUGAUCGAGUAAUGUUACGUGGGUGAUCAGAAGGCUUAAUUGCCGUAAAACUCGUUUCGUCAAGGAUUAUAAUGCAAUCGUACUUGAAGGAGAAGCCCUGACUAACUUCGUGCCAGCAGUCGCGGUAAUACGGAGAGGGCGAGUGUUAUUCGCAUUGACUGGGUGUAAAGGGUGCGUAGGUGGUUUGUUAAGUUUCAAAGUAAAUGUUAAACAUAAAGUUUAAAGGCUUUUUAAUACUAACAGACUAGAGUUUAUUAGAAGAUAGCUGAACAUUAAGUGUAAAGGUGAAAUUUUUCGAUAUUUAAAGGACAUGCAAUAGGCGAAGGCUGCUAUCUAUUUUAAUACUGACACUGAGGCACAAAAGCAUAGGGAUCAAACAGGAUUAGAGACCCUGGUAGUCUAUGCCCUGACCGAUGAAUAUUGAUUAUACUGCGAGGUGUAAUUAAGCUAACGCGUAAAUAUUCCACCUGAGUACUACGACCGCAAGGUUAAAACUCAAAGAAACUGACGGAAGAUUGUAUAAGCGGUGGAGUAUGUGGUUUAAUUUGAUAUAACGCAAAGAAUCUUACCAACCCUUGAAUACAAGUUAUUUUAGCUGUGAUAAUGGAAUUUAUUUUCAUUCUCAUAAGCUCAUUAUAAGGAUCACCUGAGGAGGUGUAUCAUAUUGACUUGUACAGGUGCUGCAUGGUUGUCGGCAGUUCGUGUUGUGAAAUGUUUUGUUAAUUCAUUUAACGGACGUAACCUUCAGCUUUAUUUGUUUUUGAAAAAAUAGAGCAAUAUUAAUUUGAAAAUUAAUUGAGAGGAGAAGAAGUCAAAUCAUUAUGGCCUAUAUAGGUUGGGCUACACACGUACUACAAUGGUAAUUACAAUGUGAAGCGAAAAUGCGAGUUUUAGCUAAUCAUUAAAAAUUAAUCUUAGUUCUGAUUACUCUCUGUAAGUCGAGAGUAUGAAGUAGGAAUCGCUAGUAAUCGCAGAAUAGAAUGUUGCGGUGAAUAUAUUCUCAAUCUUUGUACACACCGCCCGUCACGCCAUGGGAAUUGGUUUGAUUAGAAGUGGUAUAGGCUCAGAUUCUGAUGUCUUUUAAUUUUUUUUAAAGUUAUCGCAUCUUGGUACUAAUUACGACAAUUAGAUUAAGGACUGGGGUGAAGUCGUAACAAGGUAGCGGUAGGGGAACCUGCUGCUGGACAAAAUUUUUUUAAAGG
rnacentral:rRNA from 1 species